CCCUCCUUAGCAUAGCGGCCUAGUGCGUCCGGCUGUAGACCGGAAGAUCCCCAGUUCAAAUCUGGGAGGAGGGA
rnacentral:tRNA from 1 species